AGCACUCAUAGUCAGCAACACACAGUGUCAAAACCUCUCUCUCUCCUCUUUCAUGGCCGAAAUUUCUCACUUUCACUUCUCUCUCUAUACUUCUGCCUUAUGCUCCUCAGCCAUGGCUAGAACCCUAGCCGCUACUCCACGUCAGCUGCCGUUAACUCUGUCUUUCCCUGCAUCUUCAUCUGUUAAAUUUAACGGAAGAGUUUCAAGCUCAAUUUCAUGCUCCCUUCCUCUAGCUACCUCGACUUCUCGUGCCUGUACGCUCAAAUGCUCUGCCUCGGCGUCUCAAUCAUAUGCCUAUCAAUCAGAAAAAUUUCUAGAAGCUUCCAAGAAGGGAAAUUUAAUUCCUUUAUACCAUUGCAUAUUAUGUGAUCACCUCACUCCAGUGCUUGCUUAUCGCUGUCUGGUUAAGGAAGAUGAUAGAGAUGCUCCAAGCUUUUUAUUUGAGUCAGUGGAGCCUGGUUUGGAUGCUUCCACUAUUGGGCGAUAUAGUGUUAUAGGAGCUCAACCGAGUAUAGAGAUUGUGGCUAAAGAGAACAUGGUUACAAUUAUGAACCAUUAUGAAGGACAGAGGACAGAGAUGAUUGUGGAUGACCCGAUGGAAGUUCCUAGGAGAAUGAUGGAGGAUUGGACUCCCCAACUUGUUGACGAUCUUCCAGAAGUCUUUAGUGGGGGGUGGGUUGGUUAUUUCUCAUAUGACACAGUGCGGUAUGUGGAGAAGAAAAAACUGCCUUUCUCCAUUGCCCCACCAGAUGACAGAAAUCUCCCUGAUGUCCACCUUGGCCUUUAUGAGGACGUUAUGAUAUUUGAUCAUUUGGAGAAGAAAGCAUAUGUUAUUCACUGGGUGCGAUUAGAACAAUAUACCACCGUUGAGGAGGCCUUCGAUGACGGAAUGAACCGGUUGGAAAAUUUAUUAUCUAGAGUGCAUAAUACGGCUACACCUAGGCUAGCUGCAGGUUCAAUAGAGUUGUCAACUCGUCUCUUUGGCCCUAAAUUAGAGAUGUCGAGCAUGACAAGUGAAGAAUACAAGGCAGCAGUUUUGCAUGCCAAAGAGCAUAUCCUGGCUGGCGAUAUUUUUCAGAUUGUAUUGAGUCAGCGUUUUGAACGUCGUACUUUUGCAGACCCAUUUGAAAUAUAUCGAGCUCUGAGAAUUGUUAAUCCAAGUCCAUAUAUGGCUUAUUUACAGGCUAGAGGGUGUAUAUUAGUUGCUUCUAGUCCAGAAAUUCUCACACGUGUGAAGAAGAAUAAAAUUAUAAACCGACCCCUUGCCGGGACUGUGAGGAGAGGAAAGACACCUAAAGAAGAUAAAAUGUUGGAGAAGGAACUUUUGAACGAUGAAAAACAAUGUGCAGAACACAUUAUGCUAGUUGACUUGGGAAGGAACGAUGUGGGAAAGGUCUCCAAAGCUGGUUCUGUGAAAGUUGAAAGGCUGAUGGAUAUUGAGCGAUAUUCUCAUGUCAUGCACAUCAGCUCAACGGUCACUGGAGAGUUGCUUGAUCAUUUAACUACGUGGGAUGCAUUGCGUGCUGCACUACCUGUUGGCACUGUUAGUGGGGCACCAAAGGUAAAAGCGAUGGAGUUGAUUGAUCAGCUAGAAAGGACAAGGCGAGGGCCGUAUAGUGGUGGAUUUGGAGGAAUUUCAUUUUCUGGUGACAUGGAUGUUGCACUAGCUCUCAGAACUAUUGUAUUUCCUACUAGCACCCGUUAUGAUACAAUGUAUUCAUACGAUGAUCUAAACAAGCGGCGAGAAUGGGUUGCCCACCUCCAAGCUGGGGCUGGAAUUGUACAGUGAUCCAGCUGAUGAGCAGAUAGAGUUUGAGACAAAGCAGCAGCUCUGGCACAUGCCACUGAUCUUGCAGAAGAAUUAUUUGUCAAGAAUUGAUUAUUUGAAGAAUUUAGGAUCAGACAAGAACACAGAUGACAGAAAAAUAGAUAAGCCUACACCACGUCAUGGUUUGAUAUCUCAACGCAACGGGCAAGUGUCAAUUAUGUCUUGAAAGGGAGAGCUGUAAGCGACUCGAACCACAAAGGUUAGAUGAUAUCUUAGCUCCAAUAAUUGCCCCUCCUUUCCAUUUUUUAAAGGUUUCUUCUUUUGAUUAUGUUAGCUAAAUCACCAAAAUAAACAGAACCCAGUUGCAUUUUAUCAGUUUUUAUUUAUUGGCUGCAGGUAUUUCAAAGGUUGUGCUUUUUCUGUUUGAUGGAAUUUCUGUUAGUGUAAUCACUUUUUGAUAACUUGCCUUUAUUUUAAAUUGCUUCUUUUUCACUUUUCAUUUUAUUUGAUUAGGAUGUAUGAUGGGUUAUAACUUUGAACUGUUACAGUAGUUAAAGGGACAAUUGCUGAUAAUAUUAGCCACUCUAUUUGAUCUCUUUCUUAAUUGUGGUUUAUGCUUCAUAAUGUUCCUUGGUUCUCUAAUUGAAUUAAGCUACUCUUCACUCUCCAGUUCUUUUAAUUGUUUACCAAUGCUUGCUUAAGCUAUGUGGUUGUCAGAUUAUUGCUGGUCAUAAUUCUCGCAUUAAUCUGGGAUCUGAUGAUAUCUGAAGAAGAGCCACUUUAAUGGGUAUAGACGUAGAGUUGACAGUUGAUUCUAAUUUCUUAUAUAUGAUUUUUGAGGGUUUGUAUUCUCUCUUGGGUAUUUCCAGUAAAACAUUUCUUGAAGGGUUCACACCAUUUUUUAGAACAUCUGUUUUCAUGUUUUUGCAACUAUUUGUGGAGUCUGGACUGUACUCUGUGGAUAGAAAGCUCUGUGCCCCUCCUUGUAUGUAAUGUAUAAAAAUAUUGUCUUGGUUUGUCUCUGAAUGUUGAGCUGUGGGUAUAUGGAUUCUUGUGCAUGAAUGAAAUCAUUGAGAUACCAGUGAGUAAAAUCUUUGUUUGUGGAUGAUGAAUGGUGGAACUAGAACUAGAAGUCAGUUGAUGAAACUGUAGGGUAUAUCUAAAUUUGGGGUUGGAUGGAUUGUAAAUCCUUUCUCUUGAAAUGGGUUCAACCUGAUUAUAGCGAGACAUUUAUCGCUCUUAUUGUGCCUGCGAAGAGAUAUUUUCCAACUUGUUAAUCCGUCUAUGAUUUGUAUUGAAUUUGUGCAGGUAAGUGGUGAUCUAGUAUGCAAGCAUAAAGUGCUAGUGAAUUAGGGUCGGGCUCUUGAGUCUUAACCAAGAUUUUAGCUAUGGGUACCACGAAGAUCUACAUAGUGUAAGUAUCUCUUCCUUCCUCUGUUCCCUCCCUCAGGCUUCUCUUCCACAGUUGGUCUGUAGAUGUAAGAUCAAGAACACAAGUAGCAUUUUGAAGUAAUUUGAAUUUGAUUACUUUCUCUUUCCUGCUUUUUACAGGUAUUACUCCUUAUAUGGACAUGUGGAGACAAUGGCACGAGAAGUCCAGCGAGGGGCUAAUUCAGUUCAAGGUGUUGAAGCAACACUUUGGCAGGUACCAGAGACACUUUCCAACUUGAUAAUGCAAAAGAUGAAGGCCCCUCCUAAAGCAGAUGAUGUGCCGGUGAUUCAACCAGAACAGCUUUUGGAGGCAGAUGGUUUUGUCUUUGGUUUUCCUUCUCGUUUUGGUGUGAUGGCAGCCCAGUUCAAGGCAUUCUUUGAUGCAACGCAUGAGCUUUGGGCAUCCCAAGCGCUUGCUGGCAAACCUGCUGGAAUCUUCUGGAGUACUGGUUUCCAUGGAGGAGGUCAAGAACUUACUGCAUUGACGGCCAUAACACAGUUAGCACAUCAUGGUAUGCUAUUUGUUCCUCUUGGUUACACAUUUGGCAGUGGUAUGUUUGAGAUGAAUGAGGUAAAAGGUGGCUCUUCUUAUGGUGCUGGAACAUAUGCGGCAGAUGGAACUCGUCAUCCCACAGAAUUAGAACUCCAACAGGCUUUUCACCAGGGCAAGUAUGUUGCUGAGAUAACCAAAAAGCUCACCAGUUAAUAAUAAUGAGUAAUCCACUACCACGAGAUUGUAACAAAGGAAGUUGCUAGAUUGUGCACUGGCAUUACAGAAACGGAGAUGUUGGAGGGUGGUGGAGCUAAAAAGGGACUUAAAUCAACUUUUAAAGGAAACAUGGCAAUUGCUGAGUAGGCUGAGUCUUAACACAUGACUAUAAACCCACUCAUGCACAUUUCACAACCCACUAGUUCAUUGCUUUAAUUAUGUAAAUAUAAAUAAUACAAUUAUUAGAACGUUGUAAAAAAUAAAAAUGCAUGUAAUUAUUUUAAUAUUUGUGAUGGUACGAGUGAUUAUGAGAGUUGUUAGAUAUGAGUAAUCACUUGCUCUAUUCUAUUUCGUCAAUUCAAAUCUAAUCAAAUGUCAAAC
rnacentral:misc_RNA from 1 species